AUUGAACGCUGGCGGCAGGCCUAACACAUGCAAGUCGAGCGGAUGAAGGGAGCUUGCUCCUGGAUUCAGCGGCGGACGGGUGAGUAAUGCCUAGGAAUCUGCCUGGUAGUGGGGGAUAACGUCCGGAAACGGGCGCUAAUACCGCAUACGUCCUGAGGGAGCAAGUGGGGGAUCUUCGGACCUCACGCUAUCAGAUGAGCCUAGGUCGGAUUAGCUAGUUGGUGGGGUAAAGGCCUACCAAGGCGACGAUCCGUAACUGGUCUGAGAGGAUGAUCAGUCACCUGGGAACAGAGAAAGGGUCCAGACUCCUACGGGGGGCAGCAGUGGGGAAUAUUGGACAAUGGGCGAAAGCCUGAUCCAGCCAUGCCGGGUGUGUGAAGAAGCUCUUCGGAUUGUAAAGCACUUUAAGUUGGGAGGAAGGGCAGUAAGUUAAUACCUUGCUGUUUUGACGUUACCAACAGAAUAAGCACCGGCUAACUUCGUG
rnacentral:rRNA from 1 species